AUGAAUGCGGUUUUUUCCCUGUCAUCUGGAUGCAUCAUAAUUUGGUUAUAUCCUGAAAAGGCGUCCAUGAAAGAUAGGAGUUCGUUCCCUGCAGUUGCUUCGACUAUCAGGUCAAUGUGAUGGAGAGGGAAGCUAUAUUUGGGACAUGCUUUGUUGAAGUCGGUGAAGUCGACGCAUACACGCCAUUUUCCUUCUUCUUUUUUGACGACAAGAGAGUUAGCGAGCCAUUCUGGGUACCUAACCUCUGUGAUGGAUCCUGCGUUUGUCAAACGUUCAACUUCGUCGUUUACAGCUUUGGCGGGUUGUAGGCCGAGCUUGCGCCUUUUCUGCCUGACUGGUUUGAAUAUGGGGUCUGCGUUUAACUCAUGACAAGUGACAGAUGGGUUGAUCCCAGACAUAUCCUCAGUUGUCCAGAUGAAGGUUGAGGCAUUGGAUUGAAGGAAGCUAAUAAGUUGGUCUUUGAGAUCGUCUUUUAGGUCUGUUCAGGCCCAUUAAGAACUAAGCACGUAAGUGUGAGCGCAGGAAUUGUCGGAGAGAUCAAUGUGACGCUAAAACAAGUUGAUGUUAUAUAUUUAUAUUAUUCGAUAGUUAUUUAUAUUAUUCGAUAGUUUCUAGUUGAAGCAUUAGAAUAUCAAAAUUUCAUUUUGGUUCAAUAUAUAUAUAACACAACUAGAGAAUAUAUUUUAAUGAUUGUGUAUAGCCGUAUAGGUAAAAAACAUAUUAAUGAAAAAAGGGUCAUUCACGUGUUGGUUGGAAAAAUGGUUAACUUACAAAAUCAAAGGCCCAUUUAGAAAGUUAACUACUCUAUCGUAGGAAAAAUAGAAAAACAGUUUGAUUAAUGUUCAUAAAAAAGUACUGAUUGAAAUGGAAAUAGUUUUCGAUAUUCAAUGUUCACCACCAACCAUCUUUUCUGCGAGUUCCACACCACUAUAUACUAUUAAAAUCCUUUCCAAAGUGAUCAAGAUGUUAUCAAUCGUGAGAUCGACAGAAUCAAGGUGGUUUUCUUGAUUUUUCGUUGUGAAAGCUGUACCGGUUCGAUCCUCAGUUUCAGAUUAACAAUUUGUCAUAUGGGAUAAAAAUCAUAACUUUACAGAGACAUUUAAAACCAUUUAUCCAUCCUCACACACUCCGUCUCUAUCUUAUUUCUGCAGAGAGUGAAACCAUAGCUUUCAACUUUCAGCGCAACGGAACGUCUUCCCCGUUGGCUCCUCCGUUCAAGCAGAUUGUCAUCUCUUGUUUCUGUCUCGGCAAACUCUUUUGGAAAGAGUCAAACUUUUGCUCAGAAGAAACCAAGGUUUCCCAAAAUAUAUGUGGCUAAGUAGUUGCAUUUCAAUAAAGACGGGACUGCCAUUAAGAAGCUUCAUGAUGAGCUUGAGGAUACAGUUGAGAACACCGGUGCGAAGCUAGUGAGAAAAGCUGCUCCAAGACUAAUAAAUUAGCUGGUGAUGGAACAAAAACUUCAGCUGUUCUUGCGCAAGGUCUCAUUGCCGAAGGUCGUGGCUGCUGAUGCAAACCCGGUUUUGAUUACCAGAAGGAUCGAGAAUACCACCAAGGCUCUUGCUGCCGAGUUGAAGAAGAUGUCAAAGGAGGUAUCUUAUUGAUACUCUUGUCAAAUUAUCUUGAUCAUUGCUCUGUUUCAUUGGGUUGUUCUUUAUUGGAUUACUGGUUGAAGAUAGUGAACUCGCAGAUGUUGUAUGGGUUAGUUCUGGAAACAACUACGAAGUAGGAAAUAUGAUUGCCAAAGUUGGUUGCAAAGGAGUUUUCACUCUCGAGGAAGGAAAAAUCUUUGUGGUACUAUUAAAUUUGCUGCUUUGAAAGCUCCUGGAUUUGGAGAGAGGAAAAGUCAGUACCUUGAUGACAUUGCUGCUCUUACCGGAGGUGAGACCAAAUGACUAAAUCAUCCUUUCGUAACUUUUUCAUCAUUCAAAAAAGAUAACUUGAGAUCAACAUCCAUUUUUAAAUAGUUUGACGUUUUUUGAGUCUCUUUUCUGAAAAUGAAUAGGGUUCAUGAGUUAGUAUGAAAGAUAUAUAUAGUUCGUUUAGGUGAAUGUUGACGGUAGAAAAAAAAUCUAAACUAAAAUUUUUGAAAGUGUGAUUUACAAGUUGUGGAAUAAGAAUAUACUAAAUUUUAUGAAUAUUUGGUAGAGAUUCACGGUUUGACUGUAUAAUACGAAAUGGAAAGAGAGUUUUAUUAUAGGAAUAUACUGAAAUUUAUAAUAUAAUAAAGGUGAUUUUCAAGUCGAUAUUUUUGUUAUUAAUGUGAUAGCUUUAAUGUAGGGGCUAGUUAUUCAAUGUUUCUAGGAAUAUUUAGUGGAUCUAUUAACAGUUUCAAAAUUAUUUAAAGAAAUCUAUAAUUCUUAUUUUGUAUUACAAAUGAUUUUUCUGUUUUUAUAAUAAUAAGUUUAAAAAUCAUAUUUACAACUAAGCCGGUUAAAAUUUCAAAGUUGUAUGUACGUCAAGUUACGCAUAUAAUCCGGUUUAGUGAUGUUCUCCUCGAUUACACUAUUACAGUUAUUUGGUAGUGAAUUUUUAAUGCUAAUAAUUGUAAAAUGGAGUGGAAAUUUUGGCACUUGAUUUUACACUCUUGGUUGACAUUUUUAUAUAAACCAAAUUAUGCAGAGAUUGGUAAUGUUGCCGUUUUAUUCGUUUAAUUGGUUUGAGAGGUACAACUACAAUUACUGGAUCAGUAAAAUUUAAUGGUCUUUUUAUUUCCUUUGGUUAUAUGACGGAAGAGCCUAAUAAUAAUUAGUAAAAAGUGUAGAGAUAAUAUCAGUGACAUUUGAUGGUAAUUAUUUAAGAAAAAAUAGGGUUAAAUACUAAAUGUACUUCAGUUUUAAUAGUUGAGAUGACGAUUGUGGAUUUAUACCAUGUUAACUUUUCCGCUUUUGUUUUUUGUUUGGCCCAUGAAACAUACGAUAGUGUGAAAGUACACAAAAGUUCUUUACAUCUCUUAAACAUUUUUACAUGAAUUGAAAAUGUUAGGUAGUGCAUAAAUUGUUUUCACAAACAAUAUAAUGCAAUACUUCUUUGAAUUUUCGAAAUGUGAUAAUAACCUCUAUUGUUCAAAUAAGAGCUUCGAAUUUAGCAUACAGAAGCGAGAGACUUCUGAUAUUUUUUACUUCUGUCAGUUUCCCUAAUUCAUUAAAUGCUAUUUCAUCCUUGAAAGAGAGAAGAAGAAGACUUUACCGCCGCCGAUCUCCCUCCGUGGUGGGCCAUGCUCGUCACCGCCGCUAUGUGAGGGAGGAUCUCCUUAGCCUCUUUAGUUUAAUCUAAGUUUUACUCCCUCCGUUUUUUAAUAUAAGUCGUUUUACAGCUAUGCACAUAUAUUAAGAAAAUCAUUAAUUUUUUAUAUUUUCUAAACAAAAACAUCAUUAAUUAUUUACCUAACCACAAUUCAACCAAUAGAAAAAUAUAAGAUAUAUUACCAUUGGUCAUACAACAUUAAUUAUUAAUAAAUUUUACAUAGAAAACCGAAAACGACAUAUAAUUUGGCACAAAAAAGUUUCUCUACAACGACUUAUAAUAAAAAACGGAGGGAGUAUUUCUCAAGGAUAGAAAAGGCGACGGCUUGAAAUUUCCGGGAGACGGAGGCUCAUUUAGCUCCGUCGACGCCGGUCCUUGUUUCCGGGAGGAGGAGGCUUCCUCAGCUCCUCUUUCGCCGGCUUUUGUUUCCGGGGCGCCAAGGCUUAUAUAGCUUGACGUCGCCGGCUCUCGGUGUUGAAGUUCCGUCGUGGGUUCGGGUUUGGGGACUGAUUUUGGAUCCGGUUUUCUACGGUUUCGAUCUGGUACUGAUGGUAGAUCGGGGUGGUCCGUGGUGUUUGGUUUCCGUGAUUGCGGUUAAAGCUCAGAUCGUUAAGGUCUCGAUUUGUUUGAGGCAGCUCUCCGUGGUGAGAAGAAAGCGCAGUAGUGAAGAAGUGGUUUCAGUGGAGGCUCGGUACUUUACGAGCUCCGGUGAGUCGAGAGAGAUGCUCCGACGAAGGUGCGAUGCGGCGGCGGUCAGGCCGAGGCGAGGUGUCACGUGCAGCUUCAAUUGGUGGUCCUGAUGAGAUCUCGGUAUGUCCGAUGGAAGAUCUCGGUGGAGGACCGCUUUUGUUGUUGCGACCGUGCGUUUGUCUCCGGUGACAUUCAUUUCAGAUUCCAGCGAUGCCGUUGCAUGGAGGCGGAAGAGCAAAUGACCGACAGUGUCUAGGGUUUCUGCGGGUUGAUGGGCUUGGAGUGGGCUCAAGCCAUCUUGUUUUGUAUGUUUUGUGGUUUUCGGAUUGAGUCUUGGUCCUUUGUGUUGGUUGGCCGUGGGCCUUUGUAAGGUUAAUGGGCUUUGUCUUUUUAUUUAUCUAAAAUUAAUUUGAGUAAAAAAAAAAAAGAUAAA